rnacentral:rRNA from 1 species
UGGGGAAUAUUGCACAAUGGGCGCAAGCCUGAUGCAGCAACGCCGCGUGAACGAUGAAGGUCUUCGGAUCGUAAAGUUCUGUUGCAGGGGAAGAUAAUGACGGUACCCUGUGAGGAAGCCCCGGCUAACUACGUGCCAGCAGCCGCGGUAAUACGUAGGGGGCUAGCGUUAUCCGGAUUUACUGGGCGUAAAGGGUGCGUAGGUGGUCCUUCAAGUCGGUGGUUAAAGGCUACGGCUCAACCGUAGUAAGCCGCCGAAACUGGAGGACUUGAGUGCAGGAGAGGAAAGUGGAAUUCCCAGUGUAGCGGUAAAAUGCGCAGAUAUUAGGAGGAACACCAGUGGCGAAGGCGGCUAUCUGGACAGUAACUGACGCUGAGGGGCGAAAGCGUGGGUAGCAAACAGG